rnacentral:lncRNA from 1 species
GAAACUUUGGUUCAAAACCACCUAGAACAGGCACUACACAGCUCCAAAACUGCACUAAAAUUACUGAUUUCAGACUUUCAGUUCUGAAUAGACUAAGUCACCAACCACCUGACAGUCAAACUUUUGGCCACUUUUACUCCCAAAUUUAUGUGGAACCAGGUCCAUCUCACUUUAGCAAACUUGUUCACUUUACUAUGGUCUACAACUUUGCUAUGGAACCCUUAAUCCAAAACCCCAUGAAUCAGUCACAAUGAAUUCCAAACUAGGCAUCCUGCUGCAAUUCAGUUCUCAGAACUGAAUAAAAAUUCAGUUGUGUCCAUCCUGACAGACCAAAUUUAACCAACCUUUUCUCCAAUUUUUACACAGCAACAGACCAAACUCACAUUACCAAAGUUAUUCCUUAGAUAUAGCUCUAAUACUUUGGUGUAGUACCCCUAGGUUGAAAACAUUCAGAACAAUUUUUAUGAAGCACCAAAGUGGAGCUCAACACACUAAAACCUAGUUUCAGCCUUAUGCACUAAGUCUGGGAUCCAGAAACCUGACAGCCUAUGUUUGAGCAAAUUUCACACCUAGUUCCAGGCAACCAAUAGUGGUAGAGUUCAAGCAGUAAAUGGUGUGAGCUUCACUGACCUGUGAGGAACAAGGAACGGGCACAACACGGCCGAGACAAUCUCCACGAACCCUGGCCAUGGUGAGGUUGAAGGAUUGCUGUUGUGGUCACCAGACACAUGAGUUGGCUGUGAUGAACAAGGGCAGAUCAAUCUAGUGGCUGAGGAGGGGAGCUAAAACUGUCGUGGACACAGGAACUACAACGCACACGCAACUACUUUGGCUAGAGGUUGAGGGUAGGGGAGGAGAACUUCACUAAAUUCAGCCCCAAGGCACUGAAUAUAGGGGCAGGUGUCCCUGCACAUGGCAACCAUGCUGUGGGGAGUGUUUCCCAGUGCGCCAGCACAACAGGGGCUUACAAACGUGGCUCUCAAGUAUCAAUUUCACACUGGUUCAUCUGCACAGUUGAGACACCGAACCUGGUCCAAUAGCACAGGUACAACACAAUUAUCUAAUUAUGUCCAGUUCUGAAGACAGUAACAAACAGAUAGGGAUUUCCCUUGUGGAUAGGCUCAAUGGUGAAAACUGAUAUUUUUCUGUAGAGGGGGUGACUGAAUCUCGAGCUCCAUAUUGUCCACCCCAAGUCUAUCCCAGUUUGUGCACAUAAGUGGAGGACAGCAGGGAGAGAAGAUAUUUGUUGCACUCACAACCGAUCCAUACUGCAGUCACUGCACCUGGUCUGGUUCACAGCACCAGUCAGAGACACUGAAUUUGGUCCCUUCCCCAAAGCCAAAAUAUCCAUUUUGUCUUCUACUGCAAACAAAAGAAACGCAGCUGGGAACAUCACUUGUGGCUAAGCACAAAGUGGUCCAAUACUUGAUAUUUCUGCUGGGAUAAGGUUACUAGAUCCUGUUUUAUUUUUCUUUGUCCAGGGCAAUAGAUAAUUGUGCACCUGUGAGCAGGCACAAAUUAAUCCAAAACUAGAUACUUUCAGUUGGGAGUGAGGCUUCUAGAUAUCAGGCAUCCAUUCCAUACACAUCUCAACUUAUAAACACAAACAAGGGCGAGCAGCAGGGGAUGAUCUUGUUCAGUUUCCAAACCAAACUCUAAACGUGACUGAAACAGCCCUACUGCACCAUCUGCACCUCCCUAUUGAAGCCUUGUUAUUGCACAAAUCACCAUGGCAACAAACCCACCCCUUUCAACCAAAAGAAUUCUCCAACUACAGCUCUAUUAGUUUGUUGCAGCAGUCCAAGACCAAAAAUGAAAGGAUCAAAAGUUACAGUGCCCCAAAGUACAGCCAAUGUCACUGAAAAUUCAGUUUCAGAAAUCUGAAACAGCAUCACACCGAGUCUGACAGAGGGUUUUGUCACUCCUUUUUCUCCAAAUUAUACACAGUAACAAGUCAACCCUUUGCAUAAAAAUUGUUCCCCUUUAUAUGGACUUUUACUUUACUACAGAACUCUUAACCAAAAUCUCCAUAGAUUAAUUAUCAUAGAGCUCCAAACUGGGCAACUUGCUACCAUUCAGGGUUCAGAACUGAAUUAAAAUUCAGUUAUUAACCAACCUGACAAUCCAAUCUUUGAGCAACUAUUUCUGCACUUUUUGUAUGGGAUCAGGUUCACCACUCUAUAAGAAAGUUGUUCCACUUAUAUGGUCUUCACUUAUUCUACAAACACCACAGCACAAAACCUUAUAGAAUAGCCACAAAAGGGCUCCAAACUUGGCACCAUACAGAAAUUUUCAGAUUUCAGAACUGAACCAAAUGCAGUUAACGUACUAUCUGUCAGUCCAACCUUGAGCAAGCUUUCUCUCCAAUUUUUGUGUAGGAUCAAACCAAAGUUACUUAAGGAGACUUAUUCACCAUCAUAUGGUCUUUAAUUUCUCUAUAUAUUCUACAGCCCAACACCCUAUGUAUUAGGCACAAAUGAGUUUCAAAAUCAGCCAAAACACUGCAAUUUCAGACUUAGUGUACUGUUCUGAAUCUGAAAAUGCAAAGAUCUGUUAACCCCUCUUUGGACUACCUUUUCUGCUAGUAGCAUAUAGUUUUAGGGCUAUCACACUUAAUAAGGAUUGUUCUCCAACAGUUACUCUAAAAGUUUUAUACAGUGAGCCAUAGCCAAAUACUCCUGGAUUCCAAACUACAAAGGUCCAAAGUUUGACCAAAUUACUGAAAUUCAGAAUCUGAAUUUCACUGAGUCUGAAAUCUACAAAAUCUGACAGCUUUACUUUAGACCGGUUUUAUCCCAAGUUCCAAAUCGUUUUAGAGCUAGAUGACUUAACCAAACUUAUACUCCUCAUGUAUCUCUAUAACUUUGUUAUAAUGAUCAUCUUAAAACUGUUUAUAGAUCAAAUGUUAUGAAGGCCUAAAAAUAGCUAGUUGAUAUUAUUUUCAGCAAACUUCAAAUCUGAUUCAAAACUGAAUUAAACUUUUUAGUCCAACUUUUCCUCUAAAACUUGGAAUUCUCCAUACAUGAAAGUUGUUCAACUUCCCAAAAUCUACAACUUUGAUAUAUGGACCACUAGCAAAUUCUCUCUAGAUUUAAAACUCCACUUUUGGGCUAGUUGAGGGUUUCAAAUGUGACUUCUCAUCUAGUGAUUUAUCAACUCAAUCCAUACUCCUAAAAGACGAGUGACUCCUUAAUCUCAAAUCCAACUCUAGUAUAUGAAGCUCAUGUUCAAAGUGUCCCUAGUUUAGGAGUUGUUUUGUUUAUCCACAGUUCCAAGCAAGGUUUUCAAAUCUCACUUAAGGUUUUUAAGGUUAAUCCAGUUUCGCAAUUAAUUCUUCCACCUUUGAAAGCAAAGUUGUUCUAGGUCCUAAGUCUUACCUUUAAUACAUUAAAUUCCAAGCCAACUUAUUACUUGCUCAAGAGACGACUUCACUUCCGAUCUCUUAAGCAAAGUUCUUAAUCUGAGCCCUAUACUCUUAUACACAACACCACAUUCAUUGAAUUUUUUUUGACCUAGUGAAUGCAUUCUAGGUGCAUCAAGCAGUUAAUGCAAGUGCAGAUGAUGACAUGACAAGGUUUUAAUUAUCGUAACACCAGGGGUGUUACAGCCUUCCCCCCUAAAAAGAAAUCUCGUCCCAAGAUUUAAAACUCUAGGCUAGAUAAUGGAAAAGGAAAUGUGUCACUGGCUUAUUUCCCCAUUACUCCUACAAAGCAGGGGUGUGCCCCUAUUGGUUCAAACCAAAGACAAACUACACAAAACCUAGGACUUACAAGAACCUAGGAACUCAAGCACAUGUUCUUCCAAAUACUCCUUCGAUUCCCAUGUGGCUUCAUCUUUCGUGUGUAUUGGUUCCACUUUAUCUCGUAAAACUCGAUAACUCAUCUUUGAGUGUCCUGAUCCUUUUGAUCUAACACCUUUAUGGGAUAUUGCGAGGAGGUUAAACCUGGUUUAUGGCUAACAUCUGAAAUCUCAAUAACAUAUUUGGGGACUCGAAGACAUUUCUUUAACGGAGACACGUGGAACAUGUUGGGCACUAUUGGAAGAUCUUCUGACAAUUGUUCCUUAUAAGCCACAGGUUCACCAAAACCUUUGUUUCGAAGCUUGGUAGUCUUCAUGAACAGGAAAUGGUAGCAUAGAAAGGCAAAGACAGAUAGCAGGAAUAGGGUGGACGAAACAUGUACUAAUACUGCUACAUAGGGGGCUUAAUUUAAAAUUGUAUGUCAUGAUGCAUGCUCGACCGAUUCGUCCUCACAAUUCUUGCCAACAUAUAGUGGCGUUCAUGCUCUAUGGCGGUGGCAUACCUACACUCCGUCAUUGAAUACUAGUCGCACUUUUCUAGGGUUUAGUUAGUGUACCUGCAGAAAAUUGCAUUAUAGUUGUGGGUUAGUGGUUAGCAUCCUAAACUAAGCCACCUUAUAGUCCUUAACUUAACCAUAUACUAUUUGCACUUCGACUAUCAGGAUUUGCUCAUAUUCUUAAAUUUUUCCAAAAUAGUUUGGACUCAAAAUCCUUUUGAAAUAUAUCAAAGGAUUACUUUAAUAUCCAUGAUAAUGGGGGAUCGCUCCGAUACCAAUCUGUGGCAGCCCUCCCAAGUUAUCGGGCCCACUUGCACCAAUUCUUGCCUUGAUGGCCUCAGAUGGCUAUGCACGUGUACCAGGUAACUUAACAAGGCUAUCACGAGUUCAACAACUUGAACUCACCAUCCCAAGGAUCUCCCACCAUACAUGCAUAUUACAGUAAUCACAUUCGAUACACACACUUCGGAGAUAAAGAGCGGAAGACUUUACAAACAUUCUUUACCUUUUCAAAACUCAAGUUUUACAUGUUUUGAAAGAAUAAUAUUUAUUACAAGUACUGAUAUACUCAAAGUGCAUAACUUAUUACAAAAGCAGGAAGGUAGAAACCCUCCAAAGCUUACACAUAAACCUAGCUAGUCCUCCUCCAGAACUAGAAACGCUCUCCAGCCUCAGGAACAUCUAGAGUACUCCUCAUCACCUACAACAACAUGGGUUCGAAAACCCUGAGUACGGAGUGUACUUUCGCAAGUCUUACCCGACUAAGGAAAAAUGACUCUCAAGGAUAUGCUGGUUAAGUAGGAAUCAAGGAAAAGGCUUUAGCAAGAAUCAACUUAGAUACUUUUGCAGAAAUAGCUUACUAAAGUGAGUCCUUACUUUCAAUAUUUUAAUGCCAUAUUAAAUAUUAAUAGACUCUGGUAGCAUCUAGUCUAAUUUCACCAUCUCAUCAAACAACAUCAUUUUUAUUCAUAAUGUUUACAUCCUGACUUAGGUUGCAAGGCAGCGAUCAAGUCUCCACUCUCCGGGGAUAUAAUGGCGAUCCGAAUCGAUUUACUCAGCUGAGGAUCUCUAACCACACGACAUAUGUAGCGCUUAACCCUUGCAUAUGUCUACCGUUCCCACGGAUCCUCCACUGCAUGAACAGGUCCGCGCCACCCGAGAGAGCACCACCCCUUUUAGGCGGUCCUUUGCCAGGAGGGUACGUGCCACUCUCGCCAUCUCUCCACUCCCAGUGCGCGAUUGUCUUUUCAUGUAUGGAAUAGCCAGGUUCAAGCUUACCCUGUCCCAUAUCCAGGGCAUGUGGCCAGUUAAGAUAGUCCUUGAUCAUACAGGCCUACAUACGCAUCCAAUCCUUAAUUAACCUAGGUAGAACAUCACUUGUUCCUAGCCCAAGUCUCGAUUUAAGUACUUCCAUCCUUAGGAUUGUUUGUGUUCCUUAGGAUGAAAAGAGCAUUAUAGGGAACUUUGCAGUAAGAUCCCACCAUGCUCCCAAUGAAAAUAUUCUUGCAGGUAGAAGCCGUCUUUCCUCAGGAUAACCCCUGAGCUAGGCCUCAAUGCAAAAGACAACCUCUAUCCACAAGAUCUGAGCAGGGCUAAGCAUUUUUGUAUAUCAUAUUUUGAUACUUCACCAGAAGUAUCUAUAAAGGUAUGGAUAUCAAGGUAGGCAAUGCAUCCAAUAAUUUCCAAGCAACUCCUAUAAACUUAAUGCUCAUUUCACUAGACUUAAAUGUAUAAAAGUCUUUUUAAAAAUACAAGGAAGGGGUAAAUGCACCGGGGCUUGCCUUUGUUGCAGAGACGGAGGUCUAAAUCCCUCUAUUAAACCCCAGUUAGAUGGCUCCCAUCACUUGAUGAGCAGGCACUGAAGCAGACUCCUCUUCAGAAACGACUUCUUGAAUUUUAUCAUCUUCUUCUGGGAAUUUCUACAUGUAAAGAUAUGAACAUAAAUGCUUAUGCUGAUGCAACUUGAAAAGAAAAUACUAAAAAGCAUCACAAGACUUACACCUCGCUAAAGGUGCACACAAAAACUAACAAAACCUUAAGAGAGCUAAAUACUCUAAUAUCACAACUCAAUUCACCAACCAAACUAGAAAACCUUGCCUCCAUAACCAACCAAGUACUUCAUUUAUGCCUUAAGCAAGGAUCCAACCUGCAUGAACUACAAGUUAUAGUGUCCAAGAAUCAGCCACAAUUCAUUGAACCUGCUUUCAGUUCUCUGAAAGCAUCUUCCAUUGCUCCAUUCCUCUCCCCUCUGUUCAAUGCCUUUUAUCUCAUAAACUCACAUGACAAGAGACCCCACUUACUUAACCAAAUCUAUUCCCUAAGUAUUGCUCUUCCACUUUGGUAUAACACUCCAAGACUGAAAAUACACAUUGCAAAUUCAGUUUUUAGGCAGCUGAAUGAAAUUCAGUCUCUGCAACUGAAAGUCCAUUUUUGGGCAGUAUUUACACCACUUUGUGUGUGGGAUCAAUCCCAACUCACCUAAAGGAUGUUGUUCUCUAACACAUGUUCUUCAAACUUGCUGUAGAAACUUUGGUUCAAAACCACCUAGAACAGGCACUACACAGCUCCAAAACUGCACUAAAAUUACUGAUUUCAGACUUUCAGUUCUGAAUAGACUAAGUCACCAACCACCUGACAGUCAAACUUUUGGCCACUUUUACUCCCAAAUUUAUGUGGAACCAGGUCCAUCUCACUUUAGCAAACUUGUUCACUUUACUAUGGUCUACAACUUUGC